rnacentral:rRNA from 1 species
UACAGAGGGGGCAAGCGUUAUUCGGAAUUAUUGGGCGUAAAGGGCGCGUAGGUGGCUUGGCAAGUGGAAGGUGAAAUCCCUCGGCUUAACCGAGGAACUGCCCUCCAAACUGCUUGGCUUGAGACCGGGAGAGGUGAGUGGAAUUCCCAGUGUAGCGGUGAAAUGCGUAGAUAUUGGGAGGAACACCAGUGGCGAAGGCGGCUCACUGGACCGGUACUGACGCUGAUGCGCGAAAGCGUGGGGAGCAAACGGG